GACAGAGGGUGCAAACGUUGUUCGGAAUUACUGGGCGUAAAGCGUGUGUAGGCGGUCUCAUAAGUCGGGUGUGAAAGCCCAGGGCUCAACCCUGGAAGUGCACUCGAAACUGCGAGGCUUGAGUACCGGAGAGGUUGGUGGAAUUCUCGGUGUAGAGGUGAAAUUCGUAGAUAUCGAGAGGAACACCGGUGGCGAAGGCGGCGACCUGGGUUGACAUUGACGCUGAGGCGCGAAAGCGUGGGGAGCAAACAGG
rnacentral:rRNA from 1 species